UACGUAGGGGGCAAGCGUUGUCCGGAAUCAUUGGGCGUAAAGCGCGCGUAGGCGGCCCGGUAAGUCCGUUGUGAAAGUCAAAGGCUCAACCUUUGAAUGCCGACGGAUACUGCCGGGCUAGAGUCCGGAAGAGGCGAGUGGAAUUCCUGGUGUAGCGGUGGAAUGCGCAGAUAUCAGGAAGAACACCCGUGGCGAAGGCGGCUCUCUGGGACGGUACUGACGCUGAGACGCGAAAGCGUGGGGAGCAAACGGG
rnacentral:rRNA from 1 species